rnacentral:tRNA from 1 species
GGAUUGUGGCUCAGUGGUAGAGCACUUGCCUAGCACAUGCAAAGCCCUGGGUUCGAUCCUUAGCACCA